UGUAUCUCCUUAAAUACGCAUAAUUUGUUAAAAAGAUAUUAAGCAAAGUUGUAGCCCUCAUCAAGACAAACAACUUUUACUGGUAUCUUCUUAACUAAAUAUGCAAGCGUAAGGAGUUACGCUACUGCGCAUGCGCAGACGUAUCUCCUUAAAUACGCAUAAUUUGUUAAAAAGAUAUUAAGCAAAGCUGUAGCCAUCAUCAAGACGAACAACUUUUAUUAAUAUCUUCUUAACAAAAUAUGCAAGCGUAAAGAGUUACGCUACUGCGCAUGCGUAGGCGAAUCUCCUUAAAUACGCAUAAUUUGUUAAAAAGAUAUUAAGCAAAGUUCUAGCCCUCAUCAAGACGAACAACGUUUAUUAAUAUCUUCCUAAAAAAAUAUGCAAGCGUAAGGAGUUACGCUGUUACACCACCAUUCGAAUCAGCCUAGAAUUCUGAUUUAGAAAAUGACGUCAUGAAAAAUUUUGACCACGCCCUUUUUAAGUUACCGUCCAUAUCUCGGCAACGAAAAGUCGGACCGCGACGUAGACAC
rnacentral:lncRNA from 1 species